rnacentral:rRNA from 1 species
UACGAAGGGGGCUAGCGUUACUCGGAUUGACUGGGCGUAAAGGGCGCGUAGGCGGUUCGUACAGUCAGACGUGAAAUUCCUGGGCUCAACCUGGGGGCUGCGUUUGAUACGUGCGGGCUUGAGUUCGGAAGAGGGUCGUGGAAUUCCCAGUGUAGAGGUGAAAUUCGUAGAUAUUGGGAAGAACACCGGUGGCGAAGGCGGCUCACUGGCCCGGAACUGACGCUGAGACGCGAAAGCGUGGGGAGCAAACAGG